AAAUAUGGUGUAGUCAACAUGAAACUAAAGAAGAAUUUAGGUUAUCAAUCUGUUAUAUUUUACUUUCUUUACAAAAUGAAGCCACGGUUGAGGUUACUAUUGAUGUAUGUUACAAUUUUGAUUUUAAAUUUAUUUGAGACAGAUGAAUGUUUUUUUCUAUUAUUUUUUAUCGUCAUUUGAAAUAUAAUUGUAUGUUACAACAAAUUACAUAGAAAGAAUUGGUGCUUUAUAUAAAGUAAGUGAUUAAAUGUGGGGAUUGGUUUACUACUAAUAGUAGGCGUGAUAGACGUAUAACUUCUGAACGGUGUUUGAUUUAUUUAAUACUAUAAGAACACUAGUUUUACAGGUUCCUUGAAAUUGCUAACUCCUUACUAUACCUACAAUUAAAUAUGGCUACAGCUGAGGACUAUACCUGAGGGCCCAAUGGAAUUGAAAUUGAAAUUGAAAUUGAAAUUUAGUUAUCUCAGCAAUACAAGCAAUUAUCUCUACCAUACUUCUGAGAUGAAUUGUGUUCAGUCUAUUUCAUAAAAAGAAUUUAUUAUCACAUCACUAUAUACUAUGCAGUAAUGAUAACCACCUGUAGAUGUUAAUCUCGAGAACAAAGGAACAUUAUCUUUUUGCAAAUAAGACGUCUCAAUGAUUAUGUGUCUUUUGUUCGACUUGGAUACGUUCAGUUACGAGUAUAUCGAUUUUUGUUCUACAAAUAUUUUUAUAUCAAGCGACACACAUGUUUUUAAGAACGUCUUUUAUCGUAAUUGGUCCACUCGUGUCAUGAUAUCGACGAAUUGCGCAAUUUAUUAGAUAAAAUUUGGACAGCAGCCAAUUAUUCUGCGAUCGGUGGAGAAAUAGUCUCAUAGUUAAGAUAGUUCCAUCAUGUUAACGAUACUGCUAGGUAUGAUAACUUUAUUAUGAUUCGAAUAACUUGUCAGAAACUUUGUGAAAUCUUAAUACAGGCAUACCAUUGAUAUUAUCAGUAAACGAUAAUCGUGUUUCUGAAAUAUCAAGUAUAAUUGACGUGAAACAUACCGCCGAAAACAAAGAUUUUGAUAAAUUAGACACGAGCCUCUUCGAUACGUAUCCUGUAUUGGUGCCGCCAAACUUGGUAAACAAAUCAAUCAAUUAGGCGCGUUUUCCGAAUCAUGGUAUAGGUUACAUUAUAUUCAUGUAAAUGUAAUGAUUCCGUUUAUAAGUUAUCUUUACAAUAAUCGCUCGCAUAGAUAUUACAAAUUUGUUUGAAAGACACCGCAUUGCUUGAUAAAUUGCAUGCCAACGUUAACGAUUGCAACGAUUAUGCUUGUAUGUUCUCGAAAAUAAUCGAGGAUGACUCGAUGAAAUCCAUUGCGUCCGCAAUAAAAAAUGAUACAAUGGAUAACGUCAUCCAAGCAUUCAAGCAAAGUAUACAAGAUUGUGUGGUAUGGUGGAAGUUAUUCAAACAUUUCGAUGCGAAAGCAAAUUCUCGCCAGGAACUGGGGAGGUGUCUGUUUCAAACAUUUACAUCCAAGUGUAGAGAACCUGUUUUAAAUAAAAUAAGAUUACUUUUAAUUACCAAAGAAGAAAGAUAAAAAUAUAUUAUUAUAUUUAGGGAAGGAGUAUUUGAAAUGAUAGUAAGACAAAGUGUUUCGUAACAAAAUAAAAUUUCAAUAUAUUUUCUAUAUAUAACAAAUAAUGUUAUGUUCACAUUUGCAUCAUAUUGCAUGAUUUUUUUAAUUUGAUAUCAUCUAUGUCUGUUGCAUACCCUACACAUCAUACAUUCAAUUUAAUUACAACAUUUCCAUGCAACAUGUUCUAAUAUGUACAAAUUUCAGUUCCCUCUUUGUAAACGAGAAAAAAUAAUAAAAAUUGAAUACUGUAUUUUGUAUCUAUCAUUAACAAGGAUAUGUUUGCAAGUGUAUGUCUCAUGUAUAGUCUUAAUUAUUAUGAGGAAAGAAAAGUAUUUACUCUAAUGGCUUUGAAUUUAUUCACCCAAAUAGCAGGUGAAUUCAAAAUAAAUAAUAAAGAAAUGUUUUUAAAAUAUAUUAAAAUUCUUGUUUUUUUU